rnacentral:rRNA from 1 species
AGUGAACGCUGGCGGUAGGCCUAACACAUGCAAGUCGAACGGCAGCACAGUAAGAGCUUGCUCUUACGGGUGGCGAGUGGCGGACGGGUGAGGAAUACAUCGGAAUCUACUUUUUCGUGGGGGAUAACGUAGGGAAACUUACGCUAAUACCGCAUACGACCUACGGGUGAAAGCAGGGGAUCUUCGGACCUUGCGCGAUUGAAUGAGCCGAUGUCGGAUUAGCUAGUUGGCGGGGUAAAGGCCCACCAAGGCGUCGAUCCGUAGCUGGUCUGAGAGGAUGAUCGGCCACACUGGAACUGAGACACGGUCCAGACUCCUACGGGAGGCAGCAGUGGGGAAUAUUGGACAAUGGGCGCAAGCCUGAUCCAGCCAUACCGCGUGGGUGAAGAAGGCCUUCGGGUUGUAAAGCCCUUUUGUUGGGAAAGAAAAGCAGCAGGUUAAUACCCCGCUGUUCUGACGGUACCCAAAGAAUAAGCACCGGCUAACUUCGUG